rnacentral:rRNA from 1 species
UACAGAGGCCUCGAGCGUUAUGCGGAAUCCCUGGGCUUAAAGCGUGUGUAGGCGGGCCCGUAAGUGUCUUGUGAAAUCCCACGGCUCAACCGUGGAACUGCUGGGCAUACUGCGGGUCUUGGGCCAACUAGGGGCAGCCGGAACAAGCGGUGGAGCGGUGAAAUGCGUAGAUAUCGCUUGGAACGCCGAAGGUGAAAACAGGCUGCUGGGGUUGCGCCGACGCUGAGACACGAAAGCCAGGGGAGCAAACGGG